rnacentral:rRNA from 1 species
ACCGGCGAUACCCGAAUGGGGAAACCCAGUGUGACUCGUCACACUAUCAUUAACUGAAUCCAUAGGUUAAUGAGGCGAACCGGGGGAACUGAAACAUCUAAGUACCCCGAGGAAAAGAAAUCAACCGAGAUUCCCCCAGUAGCGGCGAGCGAACGGGGAGGAGCCCAGAGCCUGAAUCAGCAUGUGUGUUAGUGGAAGCGUCUGGAAAGGCGCGCGAUACAGGGUGACAGCCCCGUACACAAAAGCGCAUGUGCUGUGAGCUCGAUGAGUAGGGCGGGACACGUGGUAUCCUGUCUGAAUAUGGGGGGACCAUCCUCCAAGGCUAAAUACUCCUGACUGACCGAUAGUGAACCAGUACCGUGAGGGAAAGGCGAAAAGAACCCCGGCGAGGGGAGUGAAAAAGAACCUGAAACCGUGUACGUACAAGCAGUGGGAGCACCCUUUGGG